rnacentral:misc_RNA from 1 species
CAACUACCAUUUAUACACAUGAAAGUUGUGCAAUACUCAUUCCAUGUACGUUUGGUCAGAUCUUUGCAUCUGAUCUUUAUCAAAGCUGUAUUAAGAUAUUAGUGCUCAGAAUAAUAUCAUUUCUGCUACAAGUUGGUCAAAGGGAAAACUUUUGUGAUAUUAAAGGGCUGAAUGAUCAUUGUCAUUUUAGGACUCUUCUAACCUUCUGGAAAGAAGAGUUCAGAAUUCUUCUUUCUUGGAGGUUAAAAGAACUGCCGUCUAUGGAAAUACAAUUUUGUAUAGAAGACAUAUUAAAAUUAGAUUAUAUUUUUGUGCUUUAAAUUGUGGAUUCUUUAUUCAAUUAAAACUGUAGAUAAAUUGUAUUUAAUUGUGUGUUUGAUGAUGAGUUGACCAGGCAGUCCAAUUUAGUGCUUACGACUUGAUUUGUUAUUUUAACUUAUCGACCAAUCCUAAACAAAGACGGGACCCAUCUAAGAAAAACCAAACUUGCAUUGCAGAUAUCUUCUAGUGCUAUAAAGAUUUACUGUUAUAUAUGAAAAGGUAAAUUGUUGUUGUAAAUUAGAUCAUUCAAAUAACAAUGUAUCAUGUACAGUAUGUUUUGAAUAACGAUUGUAAAUCAUUGGACAACCUUUUUGUGUUUUUCUGUGAGGCUAUAGAUGUUAAUUGUUUGAUGUGAAUAUACAAAAGUGAAUAGUUUGAACAAG